GAAGUCCACUAGGGGCGCCUCGAAGUAACGAGGCUGAGAUAAGGAGAGAUCCUUGGUCCCUUUGAACCUGAUCUGGUUAGUACCAGCGAAGGGAAGUGGAGUCGGUUGGUU
rnacentral:ncRNA from 2 species